GAUGAACGCUAGCUACAGGCUUAACACAUGCAAGUCGAGGGGCAGCAUGACGGAAGCUUGCUUUCGUUGAUGGCGACCGGCGCACGGGUGAGUAACGCGUAUCCAACCUGCCCUUGUCCAUCGGAUAACCCGUCGAAAGGCGGCCUAACACGAUAUGCGGUUCUCAGCAGGCAUCUAACGAGAACGAAAUGUGAAGGAGAAGGAUGGGGAUGCGUCUGAUUAGCUAGUUGGUGAGGUAACGGCCCACCAAGGCGACGAUCAGUAGGGGUUCUGAGAGGAAGGUCCCCCACAUUGGAACUGAGACACGGUCCAAACUCCUACGGGAGGCAGCAGUGAGGAAUAUUGGUCAAUGGACGAGAGUCUGAACCAGCCAAGUAGCGUGCAGGAUGAUGGCCCUAUGGGUUGUAAACUGCUUUUAUAAGGGAAUAAAGUGAGAGUCGUGACUCUUUUGCAUGUACCUAUGAAUAAGGACCGGCUAAAUUCCGUGCCAGC
rnacentral:rRNA from 1 species